rnacentral:lncRNA from 1 species
CGGAGGAGGAGGAGCCAGAUUGUAAUAAGGAGGCGGCAGCGGAAGUUCCGGCAGCCAUGUGGGUUGCUUCCAUGGGAAGCGGAUGGUCGUGAGUUCCUUCGUACGUCGUCAUAUAAGCGGAGGUAUCAUCUUCUCCGCAUCUCUGCACCUACAAAGUUACAUUCUCACAUAUGUCACACUUUUUCAUCUGGAGUAAUAUCCAUGUUAAUUUUUGGGAUCUAUAUAGAAGAGCCAAAUGCUUGUCACUGUGGCCAACCAUGAUUAAGAUCGCAGUGGGAGGACCCUCUAGUCUCUCUUCAACCACUGGACCACCAUGAACUGGUCUACAUAAAUCACAUUUACCAUUGAUUAUUUUUAAUUAAAAAGUAUCAGUUACCACUUACCACAACUUUUAUAAGAUGAAAUCAAUAUUGCCAUUACCAUAGCUAUAGCCAGUUUUAAUUUAGGAUUGUAAAAUAUUGUAGAAUGUUUUGUACCUGUUUUCUAACGGGACAAUUUGAGGACAUGGAGCAGCGGUAAUAGGCUCGUGGAAGAGGAUUCGCUUUUGCAGUCUUUUGUCCGUACUUCCUCCAUUGGCAACCAUCGUUUAUCUAUUUAACAUCAAUAGCACUAUGAGAAAUGUCACGUCUAAGAUAAAGAAAGAAAUAGACCUAUUAUAUAUAACAUAUCGUUGGGUGGCUUGGUACGUACUGAUGGGUCUUCACAUGGAGCUUUCACACAAACCCUUGUUUUCUUUAAACCCGGAUGUUCAUGUACUUCCAAAGCCUCUUGAUGAUCUUCGUUUCUAGCUGUUUUGAUAUCUUUUCUCGAAGAUAAGCAUUUAUUAUCCGCUUUUGUAUUUUUAACAUCCUUGGAAAGAUAGUCUAACUUCAUGGUUGGAUCAGUAUCUGGAUCUUCACAACUUUGAAUCUGAAAUCCUAAACCGAGUGCAGAUCUUUUCUUAUCGGACCCCUCACUGAUCUCAUCAGAAAUCUUGUCCAGACUAAUCUUAUCUAUUUCAUCUACAUUUUUGGAGACAUUCAGGUCUGAUCUUCCAAGCCUAAGAGAUACAUCUACACAAAAAUCGUCGUGACUAUUAAUGUCUAGCUCCAUUGAAGCUUCAUGUUGUGGUCGGAUAACGUUGGAGACAUGCAUUUGAAGAGA